GAAAAGGCAGGCAGUUGACAGACAUAAUCCUUAAGAUAGAAAGGAGGAUUAUGCUGUCUAGUGGACUUUCUAGGUGGGGGAAGAGGAUGUGAAGGAGGUAACACAGAAGCAGGGAGAUCAGGAUUGAAAGAAGGAAGAGAAGAUGGACUAGUAGCAGAAAAAUUAGGUGCAGGAGGAGCAGAAGUAGAAGGAAGGACAGUAGAAUUAGGGGUAUCAUGUAUGGGAAAAACACUGUCAGUUAAAUCAUCAGGAAGAGGAAUAAAAGGAAAAGGUAAAGAAGAAGGUUGAGCAGAAAUAGGUGUAGUCUUAAAAGGAAAAUAUGUUUAAUGGAAGAUAACAUCCCUUGAGACAAAACAGUUUCUGGUGACCAAAUUAUACAGUUUAUAACCCUUCUUGGCAAAGGGGUAACCCAGAAAAACA
rnacentral:lncRNA from 1 species